GUGAAACCGCGAAUGGCUCAUUACAUCAGUUAUGGUUCCUUAGAUCGUACCCACAUUACUUGGAUAACUGUGGUAAUUCUAGAGCUAAUACAUGCAAAUAGAGUUCCGACCAGAGAUGGAAGGAAUGCUUUUAUUAGAUCAAAACCAAUCGGUGGCGGGCUUGCCUUGCUCACCGUUUGACUUGGUGACUCUGAAUAACUUUGUGCUGAUCGCACGGUCUAGUACCGGCGACGCAUCUUUCAAAUGUCUGCCUUAUCAACUGUCGAUGGUAGUUUCUGCGACUACCAUGGUUGUUACGGGUAACGGGGAAUCAGGGUUCGAUUCCGGAGAGGGAGCCUGAGAAACGGCUACCACAUCCAAGGAAGGCAGCAGGCGCGCAAAUUACCCACUCCCGGCACGGGGAGGUAGUGACGAAAAAUAACGAUACGGGACUCAUCCGAGGCCCUGUAAUCGGAAUGAGUACACUUUAAAUCCUUUAACGAGGAUCUAUUAGAGGGCCAGUCUGGUGCCAGCAGCCGCGGUAAUUCCAGCUCUAAUAGCGUAUAUUAAAGUUGUUGCGGUUAAAAAGCUCGUAGUUGAAUCUGUGUCCCACACUGUCGGUUCACCGCUCGCGGUGUUCAACUGGCAUGUCUGUGGGACGUCCUACCGGUGGGCUUAGCCCGUCAAAAGGCGGCCCAACUCAAAAUCCUACCACGGUUCUCUUCACCGAGUGUCGAGGUGGGCCGGUACGUUUACUUUGAACAAAUUAGAGUGCUUAAAGCAGGCUCAUUCGCCUGAAUAUUGUGUGCAUGGAAUAAUGGAAUAGGACCUCGGUUCUAUUUUGUUGGUUUUCGGAAUUCCGAGGUAAUGAUUAAUAGGGACAACUGGGGGCAUUCGUAUUGCGACGUUAGAGGUGAAAUUCUUGGAUCGUCGCAAGACGGACAGAAGCGAAAGCAUUUGCCAAAUGUGUUUUCAUCAAUCAAGAACGAAAGUUAGAGGUUCGAAGGCGAUCAGAUACCGCCCUAGUUCUAACCAUAAACGAUGCCAGCUAGCGAUCCGCCGAAGUUCCUCCGAUGACUCGGCGGGCAGCUU
rnacentral:rRNA from 1 species